rnacentral:rRNA from 2 species
CACCGCGGUUAUACGAGAGACCCAAGUUGACAACCACCGGCGUAAAGAGUGGUUAAGUGUACCCUAAACUAAAGUCGAAUGCCCCCCUUGCUGUUAUAAGCAUAUGAUGGUAAGAAGCCCACCCACGAAAGUGACUUUACUCAACUGACUCCACGAAAGCUAAGAUA